AUUGAACGCUGGCGGCAGGCCUAACACAUGCAAGUCGAGCGAGCGGCGGACGGGUGAGUAAUAUCUGGGAAACUGCCUGAUGGAGGGGGAGAACUACUGGAAACGGUAGCUAAUACCGCAUACCAUCAGAUGUGCCCAGAUGAGAUUAGCUAGUAGGUGGGGUAACGGCUCACCUAGGCGACGAUCCCUAGCUGGUCUGGUAGGAUGACCAGCCACACUGGAACUGAGACAAGGGCCAGACUCCUACGGGAGGCAGCAGUGGGGAAUAUUGCGCAAUGGGCGCAAGCCUGAUGCAGCCAUGCCGCGUGUGUGAAGAAGGCCUUCGGGUUGUAAAGCACUUUCAGCGGGGAGGCGUUACCCGCAGCAGAAGCACCGGCUAACUCCGUGCCAGCAGCCGCGGUAAUAC
rnacentral:rRNA from 1 species